UGAGGAAUAUUGGUCAAUGGGCGAGAGCCUGAACCAGCCAAGUAGCGUGCAGGAUGACGGCCCUAUGGGUUGUAAACUGCUUUUAUAUGGGAAUAAAGUGAGGGACGUGUCCCUUAUUGCAUGUACCAUACGAAUAAGGACCGGCUAAUUCCGUGCCAGCAGCCGCGGUAAUACGGAAGGUCCAGGCGUUAUCCGGAUUUACUGGGCGUAAAGGGUGCGUAGGUGGUCUUUCAAGUCGGUGGUUAAAGGCUACGGCUCAACCGUAGUUAGCCUCCGAAACUGGAAGACUUGAGUGCAGGAGAGGAAAGUGGAAUUCCCAGUGUAGCGGUGAAAUGCGUAGAUAUUGGGAGGAACACCAGUAGCGAAGGCGGCUUUCUGGACUGCAACUGACACUGAGGCACGAAAGCGUGGGUAGCAAACAGG
rnacentral:rRNA from 1 species